rnacentral:rRNA from 1 species
GCUUAGCUGUAAACUUUUAUUUACAUCUAAAUCGCCAGGGAACUACAAGCUAAGCUUAAAACCCAAAGGACUUGACGGUACCCCAUAUCCCCCUAGAGGAGCCUGUCCUAUAAUCGAUAAUCCACGUUUAACCUCACCAUUUUUAGUUAAUCAGCCUGUAUACCUCCGUCGUCAGCUUACCACGUGAGCGCCAAUUAGUGAGCCUAAUGUUAUUUUACCAAAACGUCAGGUCAAGGUGCAGCAAAUGAAAUGGAAAGAGAUGGGCUACACUUUCUAUAUUAGAAGAAACGAAAAACUACCUAUGAAACCUAGUUAGAAGGCGGAUUUAGCAGUAAAAAGGAAUCAGCAUGUCCAUUUUAACCCGGCUCUGGGGUGUGU